UACGAAGGGGGGCUAGCGUUGCUCGGAAUCACUGGGCGUAAAGGGUGCGUAGGCGGGUCUUUAAGUCAGGGGUGAAAUCCUGGAGCUCAACUCCAGAACUGCCUUUGAUACUGAAGAUCUUGAGUGCGGGAGAGGUGAGUGGAACUGCGAGUGUAGAGGUGAAAUUCGUAGAUAUUCGCAAGAACACCAGUGGCGAAGGCGGCUCACUGGUCCGGUACUGACGCUGAGGUGCGAAAGCGUGGGGAGCAAACAGG
rnacentral:rRNA from 1 species